rnacentral:rRNA from 1 species
AUUGAACGCUGGCGGCAUGCCUUACACAUGCAAGUCGAACGGCAGCAUGAUCUAGCUUGCUAGAUUGAUGGCGAGUGGCGAACGGGUGAGUAGUACAUCGGAACGUGCCCUGUAGUGGGGGAUAACUAGUCGAAAGAUUAGCUAAUACCGCAUACGACCUGAGGGUGAAAGUGGGGGACCGCAAGGCCUCAUGCUAUAGGAGCGGCCGAUGUCUGAUUAGCUAGUUGGUGAGGUAAAGGCUCACCAAGGCGACGAUCAGUAGCUGGUCUGAGAGGACGAUCAGCCACACUGGGACUGAGACACGGCCCAGACUCCUACGGGAGGCAGCAGUGGGGAAUUUUGGACAAUGGGCGAAAGCCUGAUCCAGCAAUGCCGCGUGUGUGAAGAAGGCCUUCGGGUUGUAAAGCACUUUUGUCCGGAAAGAAAUGGCUCUGGUUAAUACCUGGGGUCGAUGACGGUACCGGAAGAAUAAGGACCGGCUAACUACGUG